UGAGGAACAUGACCUUCGGCGGGGGAUAGCCGGCCCAACGGCCGGGUAAUACCGCGUACGACCACUCGGGGACAUCCCCAGGUGGUGAAAAGCAGCAAUGCGCCGAUGGAGUGCCUCGCGGCCUAUCAGCUUAGUUGGGUGGGGUAACGCNCACGAG
rnacentral:rRNA from 1 species